GUAUUGGUAGUUCAGUGGUAGAAUUCUCGCCUGCCAUGCAGGAGGCCUGGCUUUGAUUCCUGGCCAAUGUA
rnacentral:tRNA from 1 species